rnacentral:lncRNA from 1 species
GGCAGUCUGCAGGAUCCCCUGUUUUCUCAACAUUAUUUAUCUACUAUAAGACGUUCUAUAGGAUCCCCUGUUGUUUAUUUUUCAAGUAUAUAGUAUAGGGCGUUCUACAGGAUCCCCUGUUGUCUUAAAAUCAUAUAUCUACUAUAAGACGUUAAUAGGACCCCCCUGUUGAUUGUUUUUCAAGUGUAUAUUAUAGGGCGUUCUACAGGAUCCCCUACUUUCUCAAAAUUAUAUAUCUACUAUAAGACGUUCUAUAGGAUCCCCUGUUGUUUGUUGUUCAUUCACUGGGCGGUCUACACGAUCCCCUGUUGUCUGAACAUUAUAUAUAUACUAUAAGGACGUUCUAUAAGACCCCCAAUUGAUUGUUUUUUAUGUUUAUACUAUAGGUCGUUCUACAGGAUCCCCAGGGC